AACGGCCAUAUUACAUUGAAACAUCGUUUCUUGUACGAUCAACAAAGUUAAGCAACACUGAGCCUGGUCUGUAUCUAGAUGGGUGACCACUUGGGAAUACCAGGUGCUGUAA